AUGAGGCAACGUCUCUUUCUUACAUUCAUUAACAAUCAAAAUUUCUUUUCAUCAAAUCUCAAAACAAGAAGAAAACAGAAACAAAAUCUUGCUUGCUCAAUGUUCUCAGAUCUCACAGGCAUCGAUACCCAUAUGGAUAUGUUGUUACUGACAGAAAUCGAAGAUCCUUAUUCCCAAUUUAAGCCAACAUUUGUGGUAACACGUCAACAAUAA